rfam:Amphibacillus xylanus NBRC 15112 DNA, complete genome.
UAAGCAACUCCGUGAAGGGUUGUUGAACAACAGGCGUCAGCAGACGUCAUAGUACCUGUUUACUUAAGGAAACAGGGAAGGAC